GACUUCUUGAUGUCAAAUUAUGAACUGAGUGGAACACUGAGUCCCAAAGGAGCCGAAUGCUGGAUCUGUGACACAGAAUACCUCUUUUAGCAUGUCGAAGAUGGAGGUCUGUGCUGUUGGCAAUUACUUCCUUCAUCAUCAGCAACUUUGACCCUCUCAGGACAGUGGGGAGGAAGGACCCUAAAGGUCCUGCAGCAGUUAGUCCUCCAAGGAUAGAAAGCUUUAAUCCUUAGAGAAGUUUGAGGAGAAGGAAGGGAAUAUGUGCAGACACAUUGGGAGGUCUACCAGCAUUCUCACGGACAGACAUGCAACAUGAUGAGGGAGAAGGGCA
rnacentral:lncRNA from 1 species